GUGAGGAAUAUUGGUCAAUGGGCGCAAGCCUGAACCAGCCAUCCCGCGUGCAGGAAGAAGGCGCUAUGCGUUGUAAACUGCUUUUCCAGGGGGCGAACGUUUCGUACGUGUACGGGAGUGACGGUACCUUGGGAAUAAGCAUCGGCUAACUCCGUGCCAGCAGCCGCGGUAAUACGGAGGAUGCGAGCGUUAUCCGGAUUUAUUGGGUUUAAAGGGUGCGUAGGCGGAUUAAUAAGUCAGUGGUGAAAGUCUGCAGCUUAACUGUGGCACUGCCGUUGAUACUGUUAGUCUUGAGUAUGGUCAAGGUAGGCGGAAUGUGUAAUGUAGCGGUGAAAUGCUUAGAUAUUACACAGAACACCGAUUGCGAAGGCAGCUUACUGGGCCGUUACUGACGCUGAUGCACGAAAGCGUGGGGAUCGAACAGGAUUAGAAACCCCGGUAGUCC
rnacentral:rRNA from 1 species